rnacentral:pre_miRNA from 1 species
GUACUACUCCCUCUGUUCCACAAUACAUGCUUUCCAUUUGUCAAAGUAUAGAUGUAUCUAGACAUGUUUUAGUAUACAGGUACAUCCAUUUUUGGACAAAUGGAAGUCAAGUAUUUUGAAACGGAGGAAGUAGUAG